rnacentral:rRNA from 1 species
UACGUAGGGCGCAAGCGUUGUCCGGAAUUAUUGGGCGUAAAGAGCUCGUAGGCGGUUUGUCGCGUCUGUCGUGAAAGCUUGGGGCUUAACCCCAAGUCUGCGGUGGAUACGGGCAGACUAGAGGCAGGUAGGGGAGAACGGAAUUCCCGGUGUAGCGGUGAAAUGCGUAGAUAUCAAGAGGAACACCUGAGGUGAAGACGGGUUGCUGGGCCGACACUGACGCUGACAGCGCGAAAGCCAGGGGAGCAAACGGG